UAGUUACUACUCUUGGUUAAGUGGCAUUUCCUGUCCCAUCUUGUUAAAUAGCUUGCAGCUGCUGAUGUGCAGCAUGCAGCUAUCAUCAGACAUUAAGCAGCAGAGUGACCCUGCUGCUGAAUACAUUUUGCUCUCUGCUGAUUGAUCUGUAGCUGCCUAAUGUUGCUUUUUAAAUUAUCCAGUAGUCGUGAGCUUCAGGAGCUAUCUUUGAUUCGUUGUGUCUAAUAUUGCCCCAGAUGCUCUGAAUUGCCGGUCUUGAUAAAGGUCCUAUAAUAGGACCGAAACGUCGAUUGUUAAAGGCAACGUUAUUGAACCUGAUUAACCUGAAUAAACCGACUGACACAUCAAA